rnacentral:rRNA from 1 species
GUGGGGAAUUUUGGACAAUGGGCGCAAGCCUGAUCCAGCAAUGCCGCGUGUGUGAAGAAGGCCUUCGGGUUGUAAAGCACUUUUGUCCGGAAAGAAAUGGCCUGGGUUAAUACCCCGGGUCGAUGACGGUACCGGAAGAAUAAGCACCGGCUAACUACGUGCCAGCAGCCGCGGUAAUACGUAGGGUGCGAGCGUUAAUCGGAAUUACUGGGCGUAAAGCGUGCGCAGGCGGCGAUGCAAGACAGAUGUGAAAUCCCCGGGCUCAACCUGGGAACUGCAUUUGUGACUGCAUGGCUAGAGUGCGUCAGAGGGGGGUGGAAUUCCGCGUGUAGCAGUGAAAUGCGUAGAGAUGCGGAGGAACACCGAUGGCGAAGGCAGCCCCCUGGGAUGACACUGACGCUCAUGCACGAAAGCGUGGGGAGCAAACAGGAUUAGAUACCCCGGUAGUCC